GAAAGAUCCUCCCCAGGCCCCCCCGCCACAUCCCUGCAGUCUCUGGACCGUAGGGUAAGACCACACGCAGCGUGGGCUGCCUGGUCUGUCUCUGGACCCAAGGACAACGUGCUUGACCUGGUCGUUCAUGGGAGCUGUGUUUGGCAGCCCUGGAGGAGGGCGGCCUGGUUUCAUCCCCAGUGGAGAUAAAUCCCAAGGGUGGCUGUCCUCACGCCUGGGUUGUUGUGUUUCAUGUCGUUGUCAUGACCGAAACUGGCCGAAUUUGCAGAGUGACUGGAACGCUGCCAUGGUGGUGGCAUGAACACCUCAUAUUUACUUUGUGGGGAAACAUCAGGUAGUUAAAAUUAGCAGUGAGCACCACGGAAAGUCAAGGUUGUCCAAAAGAAUUGUGCAAUGUCACAUUGAGAAAUGUGGCAGAGAUAAGACUUGGCAGCGUUGGAGUGGCGGGUGGAAUUCUCAACCCUGAGCCCAGCCUGAGUGGGAGGGCCGGGCUUGGAGCUGCGGCACUUGGGGCCUUUCUGCCGGUGCCGAGGAGUCCUGGAGAGGAGCCUGGGGUCAGAUACCUGCACGUGUGUUCUUUGUAGGGCGAUGUCUGGGUGUUGGAGUUCUCUGCUAGCUCAUUUUCCCUGCUGAGGAAGCUGACCCUUUCCAGCAUGGCGUCCACCGGAGUAGGAAGCCAGCUUCUCAGCAGGCCAGCCGGCUCUUCUCCGCCCAAGGAAAACCCAGUCAUACCCAUUUGUACAAAUCGCCUCUCUGCACUCUUCAAAUAAAACUGAUAAUUCUCAGCAAUCUGUUUCCCAUCUGGAGCCCUGAAAGAUUAGAAUCCUUGUUUGAAUGCUGAGCCACGGUUGAGAUAACAUCUUUGUGACUCUUAGACUUCACUCCAGAUGACUGUCUGUCAUAGAUGGAAGGGGUGAGUGAGUUAAGGGGAACUAAGGCGUGGAACUUAGGUUUUUGAUCAGUGUAGGAUUUAAUGUCUUUCACUAAAAAGGACAAAAGUACAACCCCUGUUGGCUCCGAGUCUCCCAAGCAGCAGCCCUGUUUCUCACUCCUUCUCGAAAGUGCAGUGUGCACUCCCCCGCCAUCCCCGCCUCUGCCCCUUCUGCUCUCGCCCUGGCCUCUGUGCCCACUGUUCCCUGGCACCGCCUUCUCCGAUCAUCCUCUUCCCCAGGCCCUGACUCCAUCGCGCACCUGGCUGGUUUCAUGGCCGGCUGAGGCCCUGCUUAUUCCUCUGGGACCACAUCUCUGCCUCUGCCUCCCUCUUGGGAGCUGGGUUCCUUUCCUGGACCUCUUUUCCCACCCACGCCGAAGGAUUAGCGCCUCGAUGGUACUGACUCAUCUCUGACUGCAGUCCAGACUGCUCCCCAAGUUCUUCUGCUGUGCCAGCUGCCUGGCCAUCUGCAUUUGGACGGGGAGUCCCACAGAAAAUGUG
rnacentral:lncRNA from 1 species